AGUUCCUCUGCACAUGGCAGUAGGGAGGUCUUGCCAGUAGGAAUACUCAUUAUUUUCUCCUUAAUCAUGGUUUCUCCUGGGCUUCAGGUUUGGAGAUGGAUAAUAUUUGCCUGCUUUCAGUGGCUUUGUAUCUGUCAAGAAACUCCCAGACCGGUUUACAUGGUAGCCAUUCCUGCAGUGAUCCAGGCAGGCUCAGAGGCCAAGCUUUGUGCCAGCCUUCUGCAGCCCAACGAGACCCUGGUCAUGACCAUAUCUCUGAUUGCCGAUGAGCAGAGCAAAAUUCUUCUCCAAGAGAGUUCUGACCAAGAGUUUCACCACUGCUUCCAGUUUCAGGCCCCUCAUGUGAAGAGUGACGAAGUGCAAAGAUUUAAGGUGGAGAUUCGAGGUGAAACUUUUCUAUCGACAGAGGAGAGAAAGGUCAUGAUCAAACCGUACAGCCCGAUGACAUUCGUCCAAACGGAUAAACCAAUCUACAACCCGGGACAAACAGUGAAUUUUAGGGUCAUCACCUUGGAUACCAGUUUUAGCCCUGUCAAUCAGCUGUACAAUGUUGUGGAACUUGAGGAUGUUCAUCACAACAGGAUUGGACAGUGGGUCAAUACUACGUCUAGUGGCAACAUUCUGCAGCUUUCUCACCCCCUCAACUCUGAAGCACGCGUAGGAUCUUAUACCAUUGUAGUUUGGAUUGGUGAAAACAAAAUAUCCCAUCACUUCAAGGUAGAAAAGUAUGUUUUACCGAAGUUUGAGAUCAAAAUUAACCUCACCGAUGAGAUCAGCAUUGUCCAAGAGGAGUAUAAAGUGAAAGUGUGUGCAACAUACACGUACGGACAGCCUGUACCUGGUAAAGCAGAGGUACAGUUGUGCCGACCUUUAAGGAACAAUGUCUUGAUACCAAUAAUAAAUGAUGAGAAAAACCCACAAGGAGUUCCUGAUUAUACACCCCCCUGCCACAAAGAGUCAAUAGAGAUGGAUCAAACUGGCUGUGCUUCUCAUGUCUUCAACAUAUCCAUUUUCACAAAGAAUGCUGGCCAGAAAAUGCUCAUAGACAAGCUUAGUUUUAACGCAACAGUAGAGGAGGAGGGGACAGGUAUUACUCAGUCAAAGAAAAAACACAUAGGGCUCUCCUAUGUGAUUGGAAAACUCACAUUUGUCGACACACCCAAAAUCUAUGAGCAUGGAGCAAUUAUUGAAGGCAAGAUAAACGUUGUUCACUACAACAACACACCUUUCUCUGACAUGUUAGUCUACCUGUUGGAGAAGAAAGGCUGGUCCUCACAUCGUCUCCAGAACCUAACCACGGACAGUCAUGGUAUUGCCAGUUUCUCCCUCAACACAACCAGUAUGCCCAAAGAGAAUAUUAACCUCAUAGUAAGCAACACACCACAAAUGGAGAACACUAGAUACGGAGUCCCCUAUUUCAACAGAGGGCAACACAUACUCUCACUGAUCCAGCCCACUGCCCCUCACAGUAAAACGUCCAGCUCUCUGGCUAUUCAGAAGAUGGAGAAACCACUGGCAUGUGGGGAGGAAGUGUCAAUCACCAUCCAGUACGCAAUCGUAGGGGAGACCGUCCCAAAGGGCUCCGUGGAUGUCAUCUACCUGGCCUUAUCCAGAGGGGCAAUAGUUCAGCAUGGACAUAUGAAGGUUACCGUGCAGCAGGGGAGUCCUGUAACUGAGGGUGAAGUCAACUUGAAGUUGGCAGUGGUUCCAGAGAUGGCGCCAGUGAUACAGGUCCUGGUGUACAGUAUGCUACCCAGUGAGACUGUCAUCGCCCACAGCAUGAACUUCCCCACUGAGAAAUGCUUCAGGCACAAGGUGUCGGUGGAGUUCUCACCCUCAAAAGCGGUCCCAGGGGAGGAGAACACCCUGCAGCUUUCGGCCCAGCCCGGCUCCCUCUGUGGCCUCAGCGCUGUAGACAAGAGUGUUCACAUCAUGGAGCCAGGGAAGAGGCUGGAUGUUGACAAGAUAUUUGCUUUGUUACCAGUCAAGGAGACAACAUACAUUCCCUACGAGCUUGAAGAUCCAGUAGCAUGUUUACGUGUAAGACCAAGGAGAUAUGUAAUGCCAUUCCCAAAUGGACCAUCUGAGGAGAAAAAUCAUCCUCAUGAAGUUUUUCAGAAACUGGGACUGAAGUUGGCAACUAAUCUGGUAUUAAGAGUACCUUUCUGCCUCAGUUACAAGGGGCGACAGUACUACCAGCCCUAUGGCUACACUCCCUACUCUAUGACAAUGUCCAGACUUAGACCGGGUGCAGCGGGUCUGGGAUUUCCUCAAACUGGACUUCAUGGAGCACCCAGUGUCGGAUUUGGUGCCGCUCCACCUCCGCCACCCAUAGAGACGGUCCGUACGUUCUUCCCCGAGACAUGGAUAUGGGAUCUUGUGGAAGUUGGGGAGUCUGGAUCAGCAGACGUGUUCCUCACGGUCCCAGACACCAUCACCACCUGGGAGACAGAGGCCUUCUGCCUGGCCCCUGGCGGCUUUGGUCUAGCUCCUCCGGUGGAGAUCACUGUCUUCCAGCCCUUCUUCCUAGAGCUCACCCUGCCCUACUCCAUCCUCCGUGGAGAGCACUUUGAGCUGAAGGCCUCUGUGUUCAACUACCUGUCUAAGUGCAUCAUGGUUUCUGUAAUUCCAGCUCACUCUUUAGACUACACUCUCACAUCCCUGAAUAAUGUCCAGUACUCAUCAUGCUUGUGUGCCAAUGGACAAAAGACCUUCAGUUGGACAAUAGCACCCUCUGUCUUGGGGGUUGUGAAUGUGACCGUUAGUGCAGAGGCUGUCCAAUCCCACAUUGCUUGUAACAAUGAGAUUGUGAACGUACCGGAUAGAGGACGCAUCGACACAGUCACACAGAGCCUGCUGGUGAAGGCUGAGGGAACAGAGAAGACCGACACCUACAACUGGUUGCUGUGUCCAACUGGAGAAACUCUGACAGAGGAGGUGGAACUGCAACUCCCCAAGAAUGUGGUGGAUGGAUCUGAUCGAAUUUCUCUCUCAGUCCUGGGGGACAUCCUGGGUCGGGCCCUCAAGAACCUGGAUGGACUGUUGAAGAUGCCGUAUGGGUGUGGUGAGCAGAAUAUGGCUCUCCUCGCCCCCAAUAUCUACAUCCUGGAGUACCUGAGGAACACAGAGCAGCUCACUCCAGCCAUCCGAGACAAGGCCACCAAGUUCCUCACUAGUGGUUACCAAAGGCAGUUGAACUACAAGCAUUUUGAUGGUGCAUACAGCACAUUUGGACAAGGCUCGGGGAACACUUGGCUGACUGCUUUUGUCUUGAGAUCCUUUGGCAAAGCACAGUCUUUCAUCUAUAUUGACCCGGCAAAAAUUGAGCAAUCCAAGACUUGGUUAGAACGUCGACAAGGCAAACAUGGCUGUUUCAUCAAAUUGGGGAAUCUCUUUAAUAACAGAAUAAAGGGUGGGGUGACAGAUGAAGUCACACUGACGGCCUACAUCACUGCUUCAAUGCUGGAGCUCAACAUGUCAGUGUCGGAUCCUGUUGUGUAUGGCAGCUUGUCUUGCCUGAGGAACUCCACCAGUGAUUUGUCCAACACCUACACUACUGCUCUGCUGGCCUACACCUUUACCCUGGCAGGGGACAUGGAGACCCGGGCCCAGCUUCUGCAGCACCUGGACACGAUCGCAUUACAAGAGGGGGGUCUCCUGCACUGGACUCAGACCUCCUCAGAGACCUCAGCCUCCCUGGCAGUGGAGAUCAGCUCCUACGUUCUGCUGGCUUCCCUCAGUGCCUCCCCUCUGUCUACCACUGACCUGGGCUACGCCUCCCGCAUCGUCAGGUGGCUGGUGAGGCAGCAGAAUGCCUACGGAGGCUUCUCCUCCACACAGGACACAGUGGUGGCCCUCCAGGCCCUAGCUCUCUACUCCACCAGGGUGUUCAGUAGAGAGGGCACCAGCACAGUGACAGUACAGUCUCCCAGUGGGGAACAGCACCUUUUCGAAGUGAACCAAAACAACAAGCUUCUCUACCAGGAGAGGGCGAUGCAGGACACAGAAGGGAAGUACAGUGUGGAAGUGAAGGGCAGUGCUUGUGCCUCAGUGCAGGUGGCGCUCCACUACAACAUCCCUACUCCUACUGACAGCACAACGCUCAGCAUCAAGGUGAAGCCAGAGGUCGACUGCAACAGCAACUCUUUGAGACCCAGAGUCACGCUAAAACUUCAAUCUCAAUAUCAUGGAAAGGAGCUGACCACCAAUAUGAUUAUAGUGGAUUUGAAAAUGCUGUCUGGUUUUGCCCCAGACCCAGAGUCCUUGGGGAGGCUGAGAGGUUCACUUCUAGUGGAUCGUGUCGAUACUAAAGAUGACCAUGUGUUAAUGUACUUGAGAGAGUUACCGUCACUAUUCCAACCUUUCAACCACACCCUGGACAUCAUACAGGAGCUCCCAGUACAUAAUCUAAAGCCUGCGGUGGUCAAGAUCUACGACUACUACCAGCCAAGUGACCAGGCAGAGACAGAAUAUGUCUUCCCUUGCAAGUAGGGGUUACAAGCUGGUGAACUAUCUGGAAUUAUUGGUGAUGUUGAAUUAUUGAUUACAACAGUGAUUCUCACAUUUCUGGGCUCUUAUAUUGCCAUAUACUGUACGUAUUGCAUUGCUGAAGCUAGAACGACGUGAACAUUGAAGACAGCACUGAAAUACAGUCAACAGCGACAACGGGGGUCUCCUGCACUGGACUCAGACCUCCUCAGAGACCUCAGCGUCCCUGGCAGUGGAGAUCAGCUCCUACGUUCUGCUGGCUUCCCUCAAUGCCUCCCCUCUGUCUACCACUGACCUGGGCUACGCCUCCCGCAUCGUCAGGUGGCUGGUGAGGCAGCAGAACGCCUACGGAGGCUUCUCCUCCACACAGAUUUUUCUGUGGUCUGUUGGUGUUUCUCUACCAGGAGAGGGCGAUGCAGGAUACAGUAGGAAAGUACAGUGUGGAAGUGAAGGGCAGAGCUUGUGCCUCAGUGCAGAUGGCGCUCCACUACAACAUCCCUACUCCUACUGACAGCACAACGCUCAGCAUCAAGGUGAAGACAGAGGUCGACUGCAACAGCAACUCUUUGAGACCCAGAGUCACACUGAAACUCCAGUCUCAGUAAGAAUGAAUAACACAUUUGCAUGCACAGCAUUCUUUGAAUCAGGUCAUUGAUAACAUACAGUGUUAUUUUUGAGCAUGUCUUACAGAAUGUUUUUGAUCCAAUUUAAUUGGUGUUAUUAUACCUACAGUGCCCUCUGUAAUUAUUGGGACAAAUAAG